CAGCAGCCACGGUAAUGCGUAGGUGGCAAGCGUUGUCCGGAAUUAUUGGGCGUAAAGGGCUCGCAGGCGGUUUCUUAAGUCUGAUGUGAAAGCCCCCGGCUCAACCGGGGAGGGUCAUUGGAAACUGGGAAACUUGAGUGCAGAAGAGGAGGGUGGAAUUCCACGUGUAGCGGUGAAAUGCGUAGAGAUGUGGAGGAACACCAGUGGCGAAGGCGACUCUCUGGUCUGUAACUGACGCUGAGGAGCGAAAGCGUGGGGAGCGAACAGGAUUAGAUACCCCUGUAGUCCCUGUCUCUUAUAC
rnacentral:rRNA from 1 species